UCCCUGGUGGUCCAGUGACUAAGACUCCACACUUCCAAUGCAGGGAGCCGGGGUUCAAUCCCUGGUCAGGGAA
rnacentral:tRNA from 1 species